rnacentral:rRNA from 1 species
UACGAAGGGGGCUAGCGUUGCUCGGAAUCACUGGGCGUAAAGCGCACGUAGGCGGCUUUUUAAGUUAGGGGUGAAAUCCUGGAGCUCAACUCCAGAACUGCCUUUGAUACUGAGAGCUUGAGUCCGGGAGAGGUGAGUGGAACUGCGAGUGUAGAGGUGAAAUUCGUAGAUAUUCGCAAGAACACCAGUGGCGAAGGCGGCUCACUGGCCCGGUACUGACGCUGAGGUGCGAAAGCGUGGGGAGCAAACAGGG